rnacentral:misc_RNA from 1 species
AACGCAAAUUGCACUCUCUGGUAUUCCGGAGAGUAUGCCUAUUUGAGGGUCGGUUUAAAUAAAUAUCGGGGUGUUCUUGUCGAACACGUCGGAAUUGGGUUAUCUUGAACUUUGUUUAAGAGGCCUAAAAUUUAUCAUAACUUCGGUAUGAUUACGUACUAAAUUUUGUCGUUUGAAAUACCGAAACAUACUAGAUGUAACUAUUAUUGUAAUGGUAUUACGUCUAUAAUUUUCGAAUUUCGACCUCAAAUUAGGUAAGAAUACCCGCUGAACUUAA